GCCACUAGAGGCGCUUGCGUGCUUCUCACUGUGAUUUUCACAGUGAGAGCACGCAAGCGUCCAUAGGAAAGCAUUGUAAAUGCUUUCCUAUGCGACAGGCUGAAUGCACGCGCAGCUCUUGCCGCGCGUGCGCAUUCAGCCCAGGAGGAGGAACGGAGGAGGAGAGAAGGAGGAGAGCUCUCCGCCCAGCACUGGAAAAAGGUAAGUUUUUACCCCUCUCCCCUUUCCAGAGCCGGGCGGGAGGGGGUCCCUGAGUUUGUUUUCCUGGCACUAUAGUGGUCCUUUAAGAUAUUAAUGAUUGUACUCCUCCCAUGCCUUUAUUUAUAUCGAUCUCUUUUUUCCCUUGCACCAGAGCUGAAUACCUGAACUGUCAUUUUGUUCUCCUCUGUCUGUGAUGCAUGUGAUUUGUUUUACAGUGGCUAAAUUAGUUUAGCAACUGAAGAGGAGCCAUUAUACACUUGGAAUGCUGGGUAGCCAGUGUAUACUAAUUGCUCGUUACACUUGCAGUCAAUGACAUCUUUUACCCAGUAUGCACAGCCUUCUGACAACACAAGGUCAGUCCAUGUGCAGCUCUUCCCUUGGCGUUUCCAUAUCUGUCUUUACCUAAUCUGUCUUUUUUAUAUGUGAGUUUUCUUAUGUCUGACCAGACUGGAGCUCUGAUUAAAGCUUUUACCACAUUUCGGGCAAGAAUACGGUUUCUCUCCUGUAUGGGUUUUGAGGUGCCUGGACAGUGAAGCGGGCUGAGUGAAGCAUUUCGAACAUUCGGGGCAUGAAAAUGCUUUCACCCCUGUGUGCGUUGUCUCAUGUACAGAGAGAUAGUGCUUUGUCAUGAAGCAUUUCCCACAUUUAGAGCACGCAUGCCGCCUCUCCCCGCUGUGAGUCUUCAUAUGUUUAUUAAGAUAGGUAAUGUCGGGGAAGUCUUUCCCACAUUUACAGCACACAAAUGGCCUCUCUCCGGUGUGACUUCUCAGAUGAAUAUUAAGGACUGAUCUGCACUUGAACGCCUUGCCGCAUUCUGGACAAUUAACUUCACUGUUCACUUUUUCGUUUGUUUCAUGGAGCCAGUUAAAGGGGAUCGUUGGGAUGUAUUUUCUUAGAUGGGAUGAAUAAUCAAAUUUAUUCUUAAAGGUUUCACCACAAGCUGCGCAGGUUUGCUGUUUGAUGGAUGGACUAUCCUUGCUCAAGUUCUCCUUGCUAGCUGACGUACUGUCUUGCUCUGUAUGUCCGCUGGAUGUUGAAGCAGGGGAGUCAGGUUUUUUUUUUCCAGCUAUUGAUCUGGAUACAUUAGACAUCUCUGUAGAUUUC